rnacentral:rRNA from 1 species
GACGAACGCUGGCGGCGUGCUUAACACAUGCAAGUCGAACGGAAAGGCCCUGCUUUUGUGGGGUGCUCGAGUGGCGAACGGGUGAGUAACACGUGAGUAACCUGCCCUUGACUUUGGGAUAACUUCAGGAAACUGGGGCUAAUACCGGAUAGGAGCUCCUGCUGCAUGGUGGGGGUUGGAAAGUUUCGGCGGUUGGGGAUGGACUCGCGGCUUAUCAGCUUGUUGGUGGGGUAGUGGCUUACCAAGGCGUUGACGGGUAGCCGGCCUGAGAGGGUGACCGGCCACAUUGAGACUGAGAUACGGCACAGACUCCUACGGGAGGCAGAAGUGGGGAAUAUUGCACAAUGGGCGGAAGCCUGAUGCAGCAACGCCGCGUGCGGGAUGCCGGCCUUCGGGUUGUAAACCGCUUUCGCCUGUGACGAAGCGUGAGUGACGGUAAUGGGUAAAGAAGCACCGGCUAACUACGUG